rnacentral:lncRNA from 1 species
UCUUCCUCUAACCUUAUGCUCUGAUAUCAAUUGUUGGGGCACCUUUCCAAGGUUGUGGACUUUUGGAACCAGCAAAAAUUAAUGAGGAUUGGGCUUUUGGAUGGCCAAGAUCAGCAACACAAAAUUAGCCUUAUAGAUUUCAGCAGUCUUGUAAAUCCUAUCGGUAGGAUUUUUUUUCUCCAAUUCGAACCCUUUCUCUUUCAGAUCUGAAAUUUUUUUUUUCAAAUCUAGAAGCACCCUUGAUAAGGCCUCCAAAAAGCAAAAGAUGGAGAUGUGGAACAGCCCUUGGGCGGCCA